UUUCAUUGGCGCGGCGCAGGCGCUGCCAUGUUGGAGGAAGCGGUGCCUUCUGUGCGGUGGAAACGCCGUGGCUUCACCGGUAGCGUCCGGGAGCGCAGUCUCCUACCUUUCCUCCUCGCUGGAGUGUCGAGUGUCGGUGCUGAGAGGCGGCUGCCAGCGGGAUGGAGAGAAGUAGGAUGAACCUGCCCAAGGGGCCGGACACGCUCUGCUUCAACAAGGACGAGUUCAUGAAGGAAGAUUUCGACAUCGAUCACUUUGUGUCUGACUGUAGGAAGUGUGUCCAGCUGGAGGAACUAAGAGGAGAUCUGGAACUCUACUAUAAACUUCUUAAAAUAGCCAUGGUCAAGCUCAUCAACAAGGAUUAUGCAGAUUUUGUCAACCUUUCCACAAACUUGGUUGGCAUGGACAAAGCCCUCAAUCAACUUUCUGUGCCUUUGGGACAGUUACGAGAAGUUCUGAGUCUCAGGUCAUCUGUCAGUGAAGGAAUUUGGGCAGUAGAUGAACGAAUGUGUAAACAACAGGACAUAAGGAAGAAAAAGAUGUGUGUGUUGAGGCUUAUACAAGUUAUUUGAUCAGUUGAAAAGAUUGAAAAAAUCUUAAAUUCACAAAGUUCUAAAGAAACCUCUGCACUAGAAGCAAGCAGCCCUCUCUGGACUAGAGAGAUUUUGGAGAGAAUUGCCACAGAAUUUAACCAGUUACAGUUUCAUACUGUUCAGAGCAAAAGCAUGCUCUUUUGGACAAAGUAAGACCACGUAUAGCCCACAUUACAGCCAUGCUGCAGCAGUCCCUGGCAGGCCUGCUGCUAAAAGGGCUUCAGACUUCCAAUGUGGACAUCAUAUGGCACUGCCUUUGGACUUACGCUACAAUUGACAAGACACGGGAUGCAGAGGCGUUAGUCGGUCAAGUACUGGUGAAACCGUACAUGGAUGAGGUUUGUGCCCCCAUGCACCUCAUUCUGCAGACACAGAGCAUCUAU